CCUACGGGAGGCAGCAGUGAGGAAUAUUGGUCAAUGGGCGCUAGCCUGAACCAGCCAAGUAGCGUGAAGGAUGACUGCCCUAUGGGUUGUAAACUUCUUUUAUAUGGGAAUAAAGUGCAGUAUGUAUACUGCUUUGCAUGUACCUUAUGAAUAAGGAUCGGCUAACUCCGUGCCAGCAGCCGCGGUAAUACGGAGGAUCCGAGCGUUAUCCGGAUUUAUUGGGUUUAAAGGGAGCGUAGGCGGGUUGUUAAGUCAGUGGUGAAAGUUUGCGGCUCAACCGUAAAAUUGCAGUUGAUACUGGCAGCCUUGAGUACAGUAGAGGUAGGCGGAAUUCGUGGUGUAGCGGUGAAAUGCUUAGAUAUCACGAAGAACUCCGAUUGCGAAGGCAGCCUGCUGGACUGUAACUGACGCUGAUGCUCGAAAGUGUGGGUAUCAAACAGGAUUAGAUACCCCUGUAGUA
rnacentral:rRNA from 1 species